GGGCGGGGCGAGCAGGCGCGACUGAAUCGGGCGCCGCAAAGAGCCGCGCAUUCCAGUGAGUCCACGUGACGCGGCCGCGAGGCCUGAGGAGGACACCUAGAUGGUGUCAUCUGUGAGGAAGGGGCCUCCGCCUGAUGUGGAACCUGCGAGCACCUUGAUCUUGGGCUUCCCAGCCAACAGACUGUGAGAAAUACAAAUUUCUGUUCUUUAUAAAUUAUAGGUAUUUUGUUGCAGUAGCACAAAUGGACUAAGUUGGUGCACCUGUGUGCAUAAUGUUGGGGUAUGUGUAAUGCAUAAGAAAAGCAGCUAUUUUGGAUAUUUUACUUUUCAGUUAUUUAGACAUCACAGUCAUAGACACAACUGAACUUGAUUGAGUUCAUUGGUUAACCACAUUCUUGGAAGGAUGCCGUUGAAUAUCAAGGAAAGAAUUUGUCAACGGUUUAAAUGUUUACUAAUCACAGAUCUCUGGAUUUUUGUGUAGGCAGAGGCAAGGGCCUCCAGCCAGCUAAUGUGAUGGACACGGUAUCUGGAGAGUCCUGCAUUUCAAAACUUACUCUAAGGAAGACUGCUUUGAUUUUCAAAGUCUCUAGUCUACAGAGAGAUUGAGCUCUGGCUGCAAGACACUGUCUAUCAUAGAGCCACAUGGCGACAUUGCCGUAGAGAAGAGACAUAAAUAACCACAACUGCCAGAAAAUAAAGCUGGUAAUCUCUAGAAAUGCCUGGAUACAUUAAAAUGAAAUAUAACCCAGUACUCUGGUUCUUUAGACCCCGUUGAAUACUUUGUUCUCAGUCAGCUGAUAAAAUUUUAAUUUAUUAUUGCGUGUUUAUGAUGAAAUGUAACAUAACUCAUUCAUUGUGUCUGUUAAUCCUCUCAUUCAUAAAAAUAGCAUAUGUGUUGAUGAUCUACAUUAAAGUAAUUGUUUACCAUGGGUAGUAUUAUAGCGAUAAUCUAUAAAUAAUGUGAAAGUUUGUAGAAAAUUAAAGUAUAUAGAACUGUAGAAAGAGAUAAAUCUUUAAAUAUUUAAGGUUUUGAUCUGCUUGUAUAAUGAACUGGUGUUUUAGCCAUUUGAGCCACCUAGUGGUAAUAUACAUGAGAUAUGAUUUCUUAUUCUGAAAAAAAAUGUAAAAGUUUAACAGUUUCCAAUUUAAAAGGAAUAAACUAAGUAAAGCGAAUCAUAACCAUUAUAUAUUAUACAUUCAGCUUUUGAAUUAUUACUUAUUGGUAGAAGAUUGACUAUUAGAAAAUAAAUUAUAAAAACAGU
rnacentral:lncRNA from 1 species